rnacentral:rRNA from 1 species
UACGGAGGAGGCAAGCGUUAUCCGGAAUUAUUGGGCGUAUAGCGUCCGCAGGUGGCACUUCAAGUCUGUCGUCAAAGACUGGGGCUUAACCCUGGAAAGGCGGUGGAAACUGAAGCGCUAGAGUGCGGUAGGGGUAGAGGGAAUUCCCGGUGUAGCGGUGAAAUGCGUAGAGAUCGGGAAGAACAUCGGUGGCGAAAGCGCUCUACUGGACCGCAACUGACACUCAGGGACGAAAGCUAGGGGAGCGAAUGGG